rnacentral:rRNA from 1 species
GACAAACGCUGGCGGCAUGCCUAACACAUGCAAGUCGAACGGACAGAACAGGGAAGCUUUUCGGAGUGGAACUGGAAAGUUAGUGGCGGAUGGGUGAGUAACGCGUGGACAACCUACCUUGUAAAGGGGAAUAACCUCGAGAAAUCGAAGCUAAUACCCCAUAAUAACCUUGCUUCGCAUGAAGUAAGGAGGAAAGGCGGCCUUAGCGCUGUCGAUACAAGAUGGGUCCGCGUCUGAUUAGCUAGUUGGUGAGGUAAAGGCUCACCAAGGCGACGAUCAGUAGCCGGCCUGAGAGGGUGAACGGCCACAUUGGGACUGAGACACGGCCCAAACUCCUACGGGAGGCAGCAGUGGGGAAUCUUCCGCAAUGGGCGAAAGCCUGACGGAGCAAUGCCGCGUGAGUGAAGAAGGCCUUCGGGUUGUAAAACUCUGUCCUUAUCGAAGAGAGAGUGUUGUAGUAACUGACAAUACUAGGGCGGUAGAUGAGGAGGAAGCCCCGGCUAACUAUGUG